rnacentral:rRNA from 1 species
AGUGAACGCUGGCGGUAGGCCUAACACAUGCAAGUCGAACGGCAACACCGUAAGUGCUUGCUCUUACGGGUGGGGAGUGGGGGACGGGUGAGGUAUACAACGGAAUCUACUCUUUCGUGGGGGAUCACGUAGGGAAAGUUAAGAUAAUACCGCAUACGCCCUACGAGUGAAGGCAGGGGAUAUUCGGACCUUGUGCGAUUGAAUGAGCUGCUGUUGGUUUUGUUAGUUGGGGGGUUAAAGACCCAGCCUGGCGAGGAUCGGUGGCCGGACUGGGAGGAUGAUCACCCACACUGGAGCUGGGACACGGUCCAGGCGCCUAAGGGAGGCAGCAGUGGGGAAUGUUGGACAAUGGGCGCAAGCCUGAUCCAGCCAUACCGCGUGGGUGGAGAAGGCCUUCGGGUUGUAAAGCCCUUUUGUUGGGAAAGAAAAGCAGCAGGUUAAGACCCCGCUGUUCUGACGGUACUCAAAGAAUAAGCACCGGCUAACUUCGUG